ACGCCUAAGAUCAUGAAACUUCAUAGGUAGAUUGAUCAUGACUCGCAGAUGACCCCUAUUGAUUUUGAGGUCACUAGGUCAAAGGUCAAGGUCACGGUGACCCGAAAUAGUAAAAUUGUUUUCGGAUGAUAACUCAAUAACGCAUACGCCUAGGAUCAUGAAACUUCAUGGGUAGAUUGAUCAUGACUUGCAGAUGACCCCUAUUGAUUUUGAGGUCACUAGGUCAAAGGUCAAGGUCACGGUGACCCGAAAUAGUAAAAUGGUUUCCGGAUGAUAACUCAAGAAUGCAUACGCCUAGGAUCAUGAAACUUCAUGGGUAGAUUGAUCAAGACUCGCAGAUGACCCCUAUUGAUUUUGAGGUCACUAGGUCAAAGGUCAAGGUCACGGUGACCCGAAAUAGUAAAAUGGUUUUCGGAUGAUAACUCAAGAACGCAUAUGCCUAGGAUCACGAAACUUCAUGGGUAGAUUGAUCAUGACUCGCAGAUGACCCCUAUUGAUUUUGAGGUCACAAGGUCAAAGGUCAAGGUCACGGUGACCCAAAAUAGUAAAAUGAUUUUUGGAUGAUAACUCAAGCACGCUUUUGCCUAGGAUCAUGACACUUCAUAGGUACAUUGAUCGUGACUCGCAGAUGACCCCUAUUGAUUUUCAGGUCACUAGUUUAUUCUGUUUUCACACUGUCCAGUAAAGAGACUUACAAAUUGAAUUUUUGACACAUGUUAAUUCAUAAUGAUGUAUAAGCCUUUGUUUCUGUGCCAGUAAAUACUAUGUUUAUGGAAAUGACGUGAGAAUUCAACAUUUAAAAAACCAAUGUAAUAUGAUAUGUAAUAUUAUAUGGCAACAGGACAGUUGUGAUUUGCUGGGUCAAUUCUAUUUAGCUUGACCAUCCAAGCGGUUGAUAGCUUUGACAAACUGGUGGUCUGAAACAUUGAGAAAAUGUCACGAUUCACUGACAAUAAAUCAAACAUGUAAUUCUUGCUACGCAACUUGCAUUUAAUUUUGUCAAUUCAAAUUAUACAUAAAAAUAUAAUUAAUUUUUAAUCUGCUUGUUAAUUGAAAAACAGCAACACAGUUUGUAUGUAUAAAACAAUGUUAAUACAUAAAUAGGAUCAAGCAUAUUAAAAUAUCAACUUAGAUUUAGUUUCCUUUACUGUACAGGAUUUGUAAAGUUAGGUUAAUAUUUAUGUAUUGAACAAAAAUAACAACAGUGUAAAGAAAAGUUAAUUUGGGGAUGUUCUAUCCAAACCCUGAGAGUUCAGAUUUCCUCAAAUGCCAAGUAAAGAUUGUAAAUUUCAACCCACUCGUCUGGUUAGUUUUCAGAGGCACAUAUAAUUAACUUUUAGGCUUAGUGUCUCAUUUGUACAUGCAUUACUGUAUUAACUCCAAAUCAACUAGUACAAGUGGUAGGCCAGUAUUACAUGGACUGGUGUUCACUGUUUACACAGUUUCACAACCCCAUCUGAUACU